AAAAGAAGAAUAUGGAAAAUAAUGUUAAAGACUUGCUGCUGGAUUUAGCAAAGAUGAAUAGUGCAAGUUCAAAACCCAAACCAAAUAUUGCUCUUGGGGAAGAAUGUCAAGAAAAAAAAUGGCUUACACCUGAGCUGGUUAUCAGUAAUUUGCAGAAGUGUUGUGCCAACCAUAAUGUAUUAGCUGCAGUCUAUCAUUGGUAACCAUCUUGAGAUUCCAAUUGCUCAUUUGAAAUGGCUAAGUACUUCUUUUUCAUCUCAACGGCUGUGAUAUCUCGUACAGGAUAUAUUGAGUUGUAGUGAACCUCGGCCCAAAAGCUCAAGAAGAUAACUCGUUCAGACUUUUGAAUGGUGGGAAGUAUCUCAAUGUAGCAGGUAUCUCGGAAAGAUGUUAUGACCAAUAUUUUUACACCAUACGAAUCAGAAGCUGCUUGUAGAGUUACAUGAUCACCCCACUCGCCGUCCUUUGACAUCUUGUUCAGGUAAUCAUGAUAGGCCAUGGGAACAUAUCCGUCAUAUAUCUCUGGGCAUGACUUGAGCUGAUUUACAACUUGCUGUCUGACAAAUUUGUGAUGCUCAGGGGUGCGGUAAAAUUGAUCUGACAAAGCACGAAACUGACAAUUCCCAUCACCUUGAACUUUAAAUUCCACUAGUUCAUAAACCUGUA
rnacentral:misc_RNA from 1 species